AUCUACAAUCUGUUGGUAUAUGCUAUUUUAUGUGGUAUCAUAUAUGACUACUUUUUUGAUUGAGUAAUCACUUCUUGUCUACUCAUCUGUUGGUUUGAAAUAACACAAAAGCAGGAUUGCCUGUUGGUUACAAGAGAUGCCAGUUCCAUAGAGUGAUCAAGGAUUUUAUGAUUCAAGCGGGUGAUUUUGUCAAGCCAAAAAACAAUUAGAGAGACUUCUAAAUAGAGGGUUGUGAUAGUCUGACAGGUCUACCUUAAGGGAUGCAAUUAAAAUACUUGACUAUAAACGACUGUGACCAAUUGGUAGAAAGAUACAAAAACAACAUGAGAAUUGUCUGGCCAAAGAUUGCUCAUAUUCCAAAUAUUCUCAUUGAUUACGAGCGGAUUCACAAAGAGGGCCAGUAUCUAUUGAAUUAGAGCAUAACUACUUCCUCAUAUCUUUGCCCAGACAGAGUAAAUGAAUUAUUCUGUGGAUCUUCUUUCGCAUAGCAAUUCACAGCAUACCCACAAUUGUACAGGAAUAAUUUAGGAUAACUUAAUCGGGUGGAAGCAAGAAAUGUGUCAAAGGGGCUUAAAGCAUUCAUUUGAACUCACUUCGUGGAGGCCUCUCCUAUUGCUUGAAUGAUUUUGCAUUUUGGUCAAAAAUAAAAUUGUAACAGUUGAUCAGAAAAGACUUUGUGAUUUACUAAAUCCAGAAUGAAUAUCAUUCAAUUUUCUUGAUUCUACUCUCGAUGAUGGAUGAAGCAUGGCAUACAUUGCUAAAACAAAGGUUAAACUUUGUCGAAUUAUUGUUUAGAAGGAGUUUCUUGAUUUCUGUUCUAUUUCUAAACUUGUGUGGGUCUCUGCUAAUUUUUACGUUCACUCAGUUUCAGUCAAACAUAUGAGCUUUUAACUUCUUCUGAUUGGGACAGCUAUCAGUAAGGAUUACUCUACUAAUGCUUGAAGAAGCUUAUAGCAUAAGUUUGGUGAUGGACCUGCUGGACAGUUAAGCAUCAUGAUUCUGACUGCUUCACCAUAAAGUGUGCAUGUAGUAGCCAACUAAUGGGUAAUAUAUAUCAUUCUCUGUUUUCAUUUCUUUUUCUGCCGCAUUCUUGUGGUUACAAAUAUGCAUAACAAACUUAAUGUAUAUAUUAAUCUGAAAACAUUUAGUUUACUAAAGGCAUGUUUGUUUGUUUCUUACUUUUCGGAAAUUUAUUCGCGACAUGUUUGGUACUAAUGGAUUGAAGCAAGAUAUUUUUCCGUCUCAAAUGUUGAGCUAAAUCCAAUUGUAAUUUCUUUAUUUACUUUUCUUGUAUCCUUCAACAUUAACUUGCUUCUAUGAUUUGAUGAAGACUACAUAUUAUGAUUGUAUUGCAGAAAUAACAUUUAUUUUGUGGCCUAACGAGAAUAAGGUGGCUGGAUUAUUCAUCGACCCAGAGAACUUCAAGAAACAAGGUUUGUGAGGCAAUUAAUAGAAUGCCAGAAAAGCAAUGUGGCCGGUUAAUGGGCGUAUCUGGCACCUUUGAGCUAACUGUUGGGAAGACCUUACUGUUUGCUUAGUCAAGAGUUAUGCAAGUACUAAGAACACUUGCUGAUUCUGCAAUCGAGGCUUGAGGAGUACGGUCUUGCUAGAAGUAACGGUACAAGCUUAGGUGCUUUAAAUUUUAGGACUGCUACACUUAUACAAGAAUUGGAAAACAUUGGCUAAAAUUUAUUCGGGACAUGCAUUAUGUGUAUCAAUGCUUCCAAGCGAGACAUUCUUCCAUAUGAAAUGUUGAGCUUAUGCAGUUGUGGAGAUCAUUCUGCAAGCUGGAGAAUCAAAUUUUUAAUUUAAAAUCACGUUGAGAAGAGUCCUCAAAGGUCAACUUGGUUGCUGUAUUUGUACGUGGCAUGCGUGUGGAAGAAGCAUUGUCGCAGUUACAAGAACUCAUAAAGCCAGCUGCAAAAACUGUAUCGUAUCAGUCAUUCUGCCCGAGCAAAUGCCUCUCAUAAUCUUUGUUGGAGAGGCGUUUUUGAAAAGAAGACUUGUCUACCACGCAGAGGGAGAACGUGAAGUUAAAAGAGCAGAUUGUUGUUUGACAGUGGUGGUGAGGGAAAUGACUCCGUCAGAGGAGGUGGAAAUUGCCCAGCUGAGGGUCCACAAUUUUCACAACUCAUCCAGUAGGGAUAAGAGGCUGUGUAAGCCAUAAGCGAUUGAGACAACUUCAAAUUGGAACCGCAAAGGCAAAAGCAGCAGCCGUGAAAUC